rnacentral:rRNA from 1 species
GACGAACGCUGGCGGCGUGCCUAAUACAUGCAAGUAGAACGCUGAAGGAGGAGCUUGCUUCUCUGGAUGAGUUGCGAACGGGUGAGUAACGCGUAGGUAACCUGCCUGGUAGCGGGGGAUAACUAUUGGAAACGAUAGCUAAUGCCGCAUAAGAGUAGAUGUCGCAUGACAUUUGCUUAAAAGGUGCAAUUGCAUCACUACCAGAUGGACCUGCGUUGUAUUAGCUAGUUGGUGAGGUAACGGCUCACCAAGGCAACGAUACAUAGCCGACCUGAGAGGGUGAUCGGCCACACUGGGACUGAGACACGGCCCAGACUCCUACGGGAGGCAGCAGUAGGGAAUCUUCGGCAAUGGACGGAAGUCUGACCGAGCAACGCCGCGUGAGUGAAGAAGGUUUUCGGAUCGUAAAGCUCUGUUGUAAGAGAAGAACGAGUGUGAGAGUGGAAAGUUCACACUGUGACGGUAUCUUACCAGAAAGGGACGGCUAACUACGUG